AUCAAAAUCUUCAAGCAUGAGCAUAUUCUGGUGUAAGUUAUUGAUUAUUGGUAUGAAACAUCUCAUCAAUUUCAUCAUUCGUCCACCAGUUUUCGGCGUUUGUUCAUCGUUCAAUGGACUUUUGUGUUGCAAGGGUUGAUUUGUGGUUUAUGUCAGACUGAUUUGAAGUUGUUUGGCAUCAAAGUUGAAGAUGGAUGGCUAAGCUUUUAAGCAAUUGUGUGGCGGCGGUAUGGAGUUGGUAUAAGGGCUCACUAGGUCGAACAGAGGUUGUGAUUCGGCAUUUGCCAGCUGCCACACAGAAUUUCUUAGGUGGCGCUCAUGGAGA